rnacentral:lncRNA from 1 species
GGCACCUUUCUGGAUCUAGGUUUCCCCCGCAGUGAGUGGGGCUGGGGUCCUAGGACCAGGUUGUCAGCAGUGGAGCCUCCCCUGGGUGAAGCAGGGGAUUCCCUUUGGAGUUAGUCCUCCUGCCUGCUGCUGGUGCUCUUGGCCAGCGCCCAGGGCUGCCAAGCAGCUGCUCCUGGUAUUUCCUGCCAGCCCUACCACAGGAGCUGCCCUGCAGCUCACCCCACCCUUCCUUGCUGUGGGAGAAGUGUGGUGUAGAGUGGGCUGUCUGAAGCCUGAGCCUCGGGCCUGGUGGGGUAGCCUGUGGGAGUAGCACACCAGGUGGCCCUCCAUCCCAGGUCCUGCAGUGUUGGCCAGAGGUGGCUCCAGGCCACUCUGCCUCCUGGGCCUUCAGGGCAGAGGUUCUUAAAUGAGCCCUGGGCCACAUCUGGAGACACUCUCGGUGGUUACGUUGGGGGCCGAGGCCAGGGAUGCUGCCAAACCUACGAGACGGUGCCCACCACAGAACCAGCUCAGACGUCAGCAUUGCCAAGGGUGAGCUCCCACGUAUCUCUAGUCCCCUCCUCCUCUCCACCCUGCCCCCUUGAGUGGGGCCUGGACUGCAGAGGUUUCUCUGCCUGUGGCUUGGAAGCCUUUGUAUCCUGGCUACUGCCUCAACAGACAAUUUGGGGAUUUUAUUUUUAUCUCCACAGCUGCUCUCAGGCUUCAAAAGGUUGUUUUCUCUUCCCCUAUUUGGCCUCAACCCUGCUUCCCAGCUCCUCCUUCCUUUUUGUCAUCCCUGGCCAGAGGUGGGCUAGGUGCAGCAGGGUGGAGCCUGUCCAGCUGCCUGGUCUGGCUAUCAACUGUCCUCAUCCCCUCUCCUAGCAGCACUCGGGCCUUGAGUUCCAGCCAGGGCCAGGGCUGGUGAGGGUGAUGUCAGGCACAUUCUGACCCUGGGCUGGGAGCUGACGUCCACCUCAAUAAUGGGGCAUCUGCAUGAGCUCAGGCACCCACUGCCCCACCUGUGCCUGCAUGGCCAGUGUCCAGUGAGUGUUCACUGAGCUGGGUCCUCAGACCUGCCUGACGGCAGUGCGAUGGCUCCUUGUGCUCACGUGAGCCUGGCCCUCCAGCCAAGGCAUCCCCACUUAGAGGCUCUUGUGCUGGGGCAGGCAUGGAUGUGUGGAGCAAGGCCUGCACCUCCAGCCAAUCUCGCUCCCUGUGGUCUGGGGGAGGGCAAUGGGUCCUUCCCCUAAGGCUACUUCCCUAGGCUGGGCCAAGGCCCGCUGAGCUCCCUCAGAAAGGGUGCUGGAACGGGUGCCUAGGGCUGGAGAUAUCUGCUGAGUUUGAAACCCAUCCAGUUGUUCCACUGGCAGGGGAGCAGCAGCCCGCAGCAUGGGCUGCGGAGCCCCAACGUGGGGAGUCAGAGUUGGGGUGGGGGCAGAGGCUAUGGCCCCACAGCUGUGUGGCCCAUGCUGGCUGGCUCUGUUGCUUCUGUUUGAUAUGCUGCCACCAGGCUUGUGUGAGGACACCAUCCAGUGGAGACGGCUGCUCAGGAACUCUUGGUGUGGCUGUGUCGGUAAUUUUUUUUUCUUUUUUCUUUUCUUGGUACUGGAGAUUGAGCCCAGGAGUGCUUAACUACUAAGCCGCACCACAUCCCCAUCCCUUUUUAUCUAGAGACAGGGUCUCGCGGAAUUGCUGAGAGCCUUGCUAAGUUGCGGAGGCUGGCUUUGAACUCACGAUUCUCCUGCCGCAGCCUUCUCAGCUGCUGGGAUCACAGGCGUGCACCAUUACUUCUUACACUUCCGGGUCCCUCCUCAGACCCUCCUUCCUGCACUGUGGGGCAGCCAGGGACAGCCAGGGUGUUCUCUCAGCCUCUUCAAGGCGUCCCUGCUGUCCCCUCUCCUAUGUGGUGCUUUUCUCAGGGCUCACCCUGUGGCAGCUCAUUGAGGACGUGUGUAAUGGACACAUCAAGCAGAGUCCCUUCCACCUCAGGUCUGCACUCACUUCCUGCAGGAAUCGUCUGUUGCUUAGCGGAUCAUAGGCAAGGACCCUACAUACAGAGAUUGAGGUGCGAAGAUUCUGUUUGACUCAAAACUUGAUUAUUUUAUUUUAAUUAAUUAAUUAUUAUGGUGGUGCUAAAGAUAGAACCCAGGGCCUGAUCAUUAGGCAAGUGCUUUACCACUGAGUUACACUUCAGCCCUUUUUAUUUUUUAUUUCGAGACAGGGCCUAGUGAAAUUGCUGAGGCUGACCUUGAAAAUGUGAUCCUUGGCUGGGUGCCAUGGUAAAUGACAUGCCUCUAAUCCCAGCAGCUCAGGAGGCUGAGGCAGGAGGAUCCUGAGUUCAAAGCCAGCCUCAGCAACUUAGCAAGGUCCUAAGCAAAUCAGGGACUCUAUCUCUAAAUAAAAUACAAAAAAAAAGGGCUGGGGAGGUGGCUCAAUGGUUAAGUGCCCCUGAGUUCAAUCCCCAGUACCAAGAAAAAGAAAGAAAGACAAAAUGUGAUCCUCCUGUGUCAGCCUCCCAAAUCUCUGGGAUCACAGGUGUGCACCACCGCGCACUGCCAGGUAGUUCUUUUAAUCAGUUCUUUUUGAUUAAGAAGCCUUGAUCAAAUUAGUCUGGUUUUGUAAUUUCUAUGUGAAGCAACUGUGUGUCUUUCCCCUGACUUUGUCAAAAUGUAUAAAACUGUAACAGCAUCACAGCUCCUGGAAGAAUUAGCUUCUGUUUAUGAAAGCUUAAUGAAUUUUGCUUUCUUCGAUUUCCUAGUCUGUUCAAGAAGUCAGGCAAGUUACCUUUAUUCCCCACAAGAUAUUUGAGGUUGUAUUUCUUUAAUUAUGGAAAAUUAAAAUAUCUGACAUCUUUUAUGAAGGAUCAUCCCUGGGAGCCUCGGACAGUGCUGCAGACAGUUUGAUAUCACUGCCAGGUGGGCGCCCCCAGGGGUUGUCAGCAGCCCCUCCUUCAUGUGCACUGGGUGGUGACGGGCUGCUCCCCUCCAUAUGCCUCCCCUUGAGUCUGGGCAUGUGACCUGUCAGACACUGUGGGACCUGCAGCGCCAUCAGUGGAAUGAAGCCAGGCCUACACUACUGCAUGAGAGGAGGCCUCAAGGUAGGACACAGGACACAGGGACAGAGGGGGCCGGCAAUGGAGAGAAGCUGUCUGGGAUCUGCCGGUCCUGGGAUCCGUCCCUGCCAACACCACAGGGAGCAUGGACAAGCUGUCCCCACCAAGUCCUUGAGAAGUCCUGAUGGGCAGAAUCUCGAGCGGCAGCAGGUGGUUGGCCGCAGAGGCACGUCUGGCCCUCCUGUCCCUUGUGUGUGGACUCAAGCUUGCUCAAGCUUGGUUGACUCACUCCCUCAUGCAGAUCAGCAUGGACUUGAGGAUGAUAAUUGCACACUUUGGGUUAUAAUCCAACACUAUUUCAUUACUCAGAUACUUUGUGUAUAUGUGUGCGUUACUGGGGAUUGAACCCAGGGUGUUCUGCCUCUGAGCCACAUCCCCAGCCUCCCUGCACCCACCCCCUUCUCUAAUAAUUUUUUAAAAAUAUUUAUUUUUUAGUUUUCGGCAGACACUACAGCUUUCUUUGUAUGUGGUGCUGAGGGUCGAACCCGGGCCACACGCAUGCCAGGCGAGCGCGCUACCGCUUGAGCCACAUCCCCAGCCCUCUAAUAAUUUUUUGAGACAGGGUCUUGCUGAAUUGCCCAGCCUGGCCUGAAACUUUUGAUCCUCCUGCCUCAGCCUCCCAAGUUGCUUGGAUGACAUCUAGCUCCUUGCAUUUUAACAAGUGCUUGGUGUUGUUCUGGAACAAAUGCCCACGAGUGAGGGCCACCCAGGCAUCCUGUAGAAGAAGGAAGUCCAGGGUUGUGCAGUGUGCAGCUUCCUGAGGACUCACCCACAGAAGUCUGCUCCUAUGUGGCAGCAAAGCCAACUGGACCCCCAGCUUGGGUCGGGAGGAAGGUGUGGUUACCAGUUAGGACAGAAGUGCCACCAUCCUGUCUGGGAUGUGCCUGGCUUGUCUUAAGACAAUAUGGAGGACCAGGAGCACCCUUCAGCUGGGGCCCAGGUGCGGGGCUCCAUAUGCCAUCCUAGCAGUUCUGUCUAGGGCUUGCUGGGAAACAGGAAGACCCGUGAAGACACUCCCACCCAGGGCAGUGCAGUCUGACCAGUGGAACCCAUUGGUGACAUGGCCCAUCAGCUCUGCUGCUCUGAGAUCUCUGCUCACACCUGCCCCAGUGUUGUCAGCCUCGAGGUGUUAACAAGGUUUGUCUUGUGGUGAAGUUCACAGGAAACAUCUGAAUAAUUUCUAAAGAUGCCAAAAUCCACAAAAGAUUACAGAAAGAGUGGGUCACUAUUUAAAGAGUGCUUGUUUUACAGUCAACUUGUAUAGUGAUGUGAGUCGGAUACAUACAGGUUGUCUUGUCAAUUUCUUUUUUGGAGGGGCGGUUACUGGAGAUUGAACCCAUGGGUGCUUUACCACUGAGCAAUAUCCACAGCCCUUUUUAUUUUUUAUUUUUUGAGAAGGGAUCUGAGUUGCGGAGGCUGGCUUUGAACUUGCUAUCCUCCUGCCUCAACCUCCAGAGUUGCUGGGACUGGAUAUGGUGUGCCACCAUAUCCAGCUGAGGUAUACAGACUUUCGUGUGGUUAAGACUAAAACCAAAGGUUUAGAUUUGUUAUCUGACAUGAGCAUUCAUGUAAACACAAACACAUUCUGAGGAAGGCAUGCUACUCCUGUUCAACUAGGAGGGCGCACGCAAUAGAAAAGAAAGCCCAUCCUGAAAGCACAGGUUCUCAAGGUGCUUUCCUCCACCCUGACGCCGCCAGGCCCCCUCCAGCCACGGGUGACUCCCCCAGGAAGGGAUGUUUCUCCCUGGCCUUCCCAGAUCCUUCACUGCUGUGCUGGUUUUAAAUAUUGGCACAUUAGAAGAACCAUGACAGUGGCCCUCCUUCCCUGCGUGAGGGUGACACUGACUGGUAUGUCUCCCCAGCAGUGCCUUCUGAUUUUGCCUGCCAAAACUGGAACCCAAUUUCCAAUAUGCAAAAUGGCAUGUCUCUACGCCUUGCCUGUCUGUGGGGGCCCCCAUGCGACCCCAGCUAUACCAAAACCACCUGCCUGGCUGUGUAGGGUGAGGUGGUCUGCAGACACAACGGGAGGGUCCUGCCAUCUGCUAACCACUACCCCACAACUUGGAGAGCUCCCCUGUUACGAAGCCCCUGCCACAGGGAAUGAAAUAGGAAGGACUGCUCAGCCUUCCUGAGCCGAGGCACGGAGCCACACCCCAUGACCACGUCCAGCAGCUAACUCCUCAGGCAGGCAUGGACAUGCUUGCUCAGGUGCUGAGGCCACCCACAACUCUCAUGCUGGCUUUAUCUCUGUGUCUAAAUGCUCCUGUGGUUUGGUGACAAUCAGAACAGACAUGAGCACAUCUAUGAUCUCAGGGCUGGGUGGUAAAGCAUGCGGCUCAGUGGUAAAGCAUCCCUGGGUUCAAUCCUCUGUAUGAAAAAGCCUAAUAAUAAUUAAUAUUUUUUUAAAAUAUUUAUUUUGUAGGUGUAGAUGGACACAACACAAUGCCUUUAUUUUUAUGUGGUGCUGAGGAUCGAAGCCGGGUCCCACCUGUGCUAGGCGAGUGCUAGGCAAGUGCUCUACCGCUAAGCCACAAUCCCAGCCCAGCAUAAUUAUUAUUAUUUUUUAAAAGAACGGGCCGCACGCAUGCCAGGCGAGCGCACUACCGCUUGAGCCACAUCCCCAGCCCCCAGCAUAAUUAUUUUUAAAGUAACAAGAAGAACACAGCUCAAACAAAGCAAAACACAAUCAAAUAAACAGAGCCAUGAAUGGUGGCACAAACUUGUAAUCCCAGUGGCUUAGGGGCUGAGGCAGGAGGCUCGCAAGUUCAAAGCUAGCCUCAACAACUUAGGGAGGUCCUAAGCGACUCAGCAAGAACUUGUUUCAAAAUUUUAAAAAAGGGGCGGGGAGUGGCUAGGGAGUGGCUUAGUGAUUGAGCACCCCUGGGUUCAUCCCUGGUACAAAAAAUAAACAAACAAACAAGGGCUGGGGUUGUGGCUCAGUGGUAGUGUGCGCACCUAGCAUGCCCUGGGUUUGAUCCUCAGCACCACAUUAAAAAAAUAAAUAAAUAAAAUAAAAGUAUAAAAAAUUAAAAAUAAAUAAAUAGACAAAAAACAAUAACAGCAAAAAAAAAAAAAACAAACAAUCAGACCCAGAGCACACCUACAGUCCCACCCACCUGGGGGACUGAGGCAAGAGGACUGUAGCUUGGGCCCCCCACUCGGCUCUCUAGAGCUGCCUAGCCCCGGCUUCAGGAAGGAAAGGCUGGCCUUCCUGACCCACCGGGCCCCUCUGUCAGUAGGAGACCAAGCAGGGUGGGCCUGGGGAAGCUUUCUCCUCCUCGUGGGACAGGGGCUUUGGCCUUCAUGACCCCAGCCCUGCUCUCUUUCCAGGGGCGAGGUUGGUGCUCUGCUGCCGCCUGACAUAACACACAGCUCCCACAGCCAGGGCCUGUCUCUCUGCUGGGCUGUCCCUGAGGAGGCCACUGAAAAGUCUGGUUCCUGGCAGCUGUGGGGUUGAGGUCCAGUCUUCCCUUGGCUCCCGAGGGCCACCCUCUGUGGGUGCCGGCCACUCCUCGGGCUCCUGCUGCUCUCAGCCAGAGUGAACAGCUCCAGGCCCAUGAGGCUGUGUUGGCUGCCAGGACAGGGACACUCUCCUUAGUCAGACCAGGCUCCCCACUGACCAGCCGAGAUGCUGAUCUGUCUAACCCACGUUCACAGGGAGGGGCUGGAUGGACACAGGCCCCAGGGGCCAGGAAUCUUGGGCACCUUCUUAGUUCUGCCCAAUGUGGACUGGUGGAGCCCUUUUACCUCUGUGUCCACAUACUCCCUGACAGGUUCAGACCAACCAGCUCCGUGUUCCCUUCCUGUGCAGACCCAGCUCAGGCCUCCUUUGCUGCCCUGCCAUACAGGAGACCACCUCCUCAAGCCCCCUGUUCAGCCCUUGGAGCCUGUCCUUGGCCAGUCCAGCCAAGCAAGUGUCUGCCUUGUUUGAUACUUGCUUGUUUGGUACUCGCUCAGUGCACAGAAUGAUCAGCAGGGCCAGGCACAGUUGUGCACACCUGUAAUCCCAAUGACUAGAGAGGCCGAGGCAGGAAGAUCACAAGUUCAAAGCCAGUUUCAGCAACUUAAUGAGCCCCUAAGCAACUCAGUGAGACCCUGUUCAAAAUAAAAAUACAGGGGCUGUGGUUGUGGCUCAGUGGUAGAGUGCUUGCUUCCCACAUGUAAGGCAUUAGGUUCAAUCCUCAGCACCACACAAAAAAUAAAAUAAAGGUAUUGUAUUCAUUUAUGACUAAAAAUGUGUGUAUAUGUGUCUGUGUGUAUGUAUGUAUGUAUGUGUAUAUAUAUAUAUAUAUAUAUAUAUAUAUAUUUGUGUGUGUGUGUAUAUAUAUAUAUGUGUGUGUAUAUAUAUAUAUAUAUGUAUAUACUUGUGUGUGUGUGUGUGUGUGUAUAUAUAUAUAUAUAUAUAUAUAUAUAUAUAUGUAUUUUUUUGGUACCAGGGAUUGAACUCAGGAGCACUCAACCACUGAGCCACAUCCCCAAUCUUUUUUAGUAUUUUAUUUAGAGACAGGAUCUCACUGAGUUCCUUAGGGCUUUGCUGUUGCCGAGUCUGCCUUUGAACUCCUAACCCUCCUGCCUCAGCCUUCUGUGUCAUUGGGAUUACAGGCAUGUGUCACCGCACCCAGCUAAAAAGAUUUUUUAAAAAUAUG